rnacentral:rRNA from 1 species
UACAGAGGGUGCGAGCGUUAAUCGGAAUUACUGGGCGUAAAGCGUGCGUAGACGGUUAUUUAAGUCGGGUGUGAAAGCCCCGGGCUCAACCUGGGAAUUGCAUUCGAGACUGAAUAGCUAGGGUACGGUAGAGGGAAGUGGAACUUCCGGUGUAGCGGUGAAAUGCGUAGAUAUCGGGAGGAACAUCAGUGGCGAAGGCGGCCUUCUGGUCCAGUACUGACACUCAAGUGCGAAAGCGUGGGGAGCAAACAGG